CAUCACAGCUGCGUGGCCCUUCCCGGUCCUGGGCGUGGGGCGGGAGGCAGCCGUGCCCGGGAUUUCGCGCUGCCCCCGGCGUCUCCUUCCCCGUGCUUUUGUGACUUGAUCAGGGUAGAUUUAUUUUCCGAUCCACUGGUUUGUCAACAUGUCAAUUGACUUGCCUCCAUCUGCUUUUUCCCCAUGCCAGGACGGUGCCGGCUGAAAGGGAAGUGUCAGCUGUUCUUCUGUCUUUAAAAGGCAGCAAAGAAAAAAGCGCAGGGUUGGGUUUCGUAACGUCAGAGGAGGCCAAGGACACAGCAUGGAAUCUGACGGGAAACGCAUGUGGGCGAGGAGGUGAUGGGCUUCAAGGCGCGGCUCUCUGGUCGCAAGCCGCCUGUUCUCAGAAUACAGCUGGCUGUGUUGUAAUCGCACGCUGAUCUCACAAUAAAUAACGUGUGCAUGGA
rnacentral:lncRNA from 1 species